GCCGAGAGUACGUAUUUUGAGCGCGACGCCAGUGUUCCGCCCAGGAAAGCGUAAUAAUAAAGCGCCUGGAAGAAGCGGCAGUCCUACAUGAACAUCCUUAGAUACACACCUUCUUUCCAGCUUAAGGUUCUCCUAAGUAUACGAUGGCGUCCAAAUCGGCCUGCCUAAUGGUGGCGAGCUCGGCAGCGGAAGGGGUGUCAGCGCAGUCCUUCAUAAAUUCCUUCAAUUUGUGCAGCUCAGCAUUCAAUUUGCAGAUCACUACUCCUGGGGGUAAACCCAUUGAUUUCCUGGAUGUUGAUGACAGUAAUAUGCGGUGGAUCCAGGACUUUCGUGUGAAAUCUUAUGCCAGUCCUGCUAAGUUGGAAUCUAUUGAUGGCUCUCGGUAUCAUGCUCUGUUAAUUCCUAGUUGCCCAGGUGCCAUGACUGACUUGGCCCAAAAUGGCUACUUGGCAAAGAUCCUACAACAUUUUGUCACAGAAAACAAGCCAAUCUGUGCCAUAGGACAUGGAGUGACUGCAUUGUGCAGUGCCAUCAAUGAAGAUAAGUCUUGGAUAUUCAAGGAGUACAGCAUGACAGGACCCUCAAUAUUUGAGUUGGUAAGACGCAGGGACUUUGCAAAUCUUUCUAUCCUGAUGGAAGACUUCGCUAAGGAUUCUGGCGCUAUAUAUAGCGCAAGUGUAGUCGAUGCAGUGCAUGUAGUGUUGGACAGGCAUCUUGUCACUGGACAGAAUGACCAGUCAACUCUUGCAGCAGUUCAGAAUCUCAUACUUCUUUGCAACAACAGGAAAUAAGGUAUUUCAGAAUAGGAUGGAACUUGGAAAAGACUACUGUAUUCAUAUCAUUGUUCCCAAGGAGCAGGUGUUUUCCAAAUUUCCUGUUUUGUUCAGAAGCUGGCAUUCGGUGAUAUAAACCUACAGUCCUCCCCUGUUAAGAUGUUACAUUCCACAAGCACAAAUUCCACAAAUUAGGCAUUUUCUUCAUAAUCGUUUAACCUAAAGUUAUGAUUAAAAAAAAUCCAAUGUGUUAUAUGUUCCUUUUCUAAUGAUUAUCUUUGGCUAAUAAUCAUGACUCACUGGUCUACAAAUAAUGUUGGAUGAAUGAAUUGCUGAAACCAGAAAUAAGUGUAAACCUUUUGUAUUGUUUUGCUGCACAUUACCAUUAUUUAUGCUUACAUUAUGAUACUUACAAGCGUGUGGUGGAUGCACGCCCAAGCUUAAAACUAAUUUAUUAAAGUAUUUUUAGAAAGUUCCUUUAAAUCAAGAUCAAAUGAUCCUUUGUCAGUACUUGUGCAAUAAAUGUAGACAUGCUGCUUACAGUUACUGUAGUAUGAGGCUGGAACUGAACAAAAUGAUUGGAUGAAAGAUUAUGGGAAUUGCAUCUUUCUAGGAGUUACAUUAUUUAAAUAUUAAUGCAAGCUCAAACUAUGAAAUAUCCAAUUUAAUCAUAUUUUUAUGGGUACAAUAUGUAUAUAUUUGUAUACUGCAUAAUAAUUUAACUUUUAAUUCAUUACAAUUGCUUCCUUUAAUAUUGUAUUUUGCACUGUACACUAAUUAAAUGAUUUCUUUUCUUUUUAUACUGUAUUUGAUAUAAUUUGAGCAUUACAGUUUCUCCUUGAGAAUGAAUUUUCAGUUAUUUCCAAAGAUACAGAAACUAUAUUUUGUGGCAUUUACAUAUGAAGUUUCUUGAAAAGUAGACUUUUAAUUCCACCACAUAGAUACAACCCUCAUUUAGUCUUUGCUUCCUUCCUUUAACGAUGGAAUGAAAAUCGGGCCUUGUGCAAGGCAACUAAUGAAGUUAAACAGCUGACAUAAGGCCAUAAAAAUAGAAGUAAGCCUUAUACUCACCACCUGCACAGCUGACUGAGUAGACUUUUGGAAGCAAUACAAACGAGGUAAUAAGAGCUUUAUAUAAAAGUCUGUGUAGAAUUUAUAUGAAUAAAAUGCACCCAGUUCCUUUGUCAGUUGUAUUGUCCACUUUAGAACUGUUUUGAGAUAUGAAAUCUAUUUCUUAAUCAAACUAACAUAUAAAUGAAGUAAGCUUUUCAGUGAGUAGGUUACUUGUAGGUAAAAAUCGAAACUUUAAGUAUUUGCAGGUGACUCUGGUUAUGUUUGAAAAUUCACCAUUAUAUUUUUUCUGUGGUGGUUCUCAAAUAUUGGUGAACUGUUGUGGUGACCAGCUUCCACUUGAACUGAAGCGAUCCCUUACUAGGUGGUGAAUCCUUCUGUAUGUCACACCCUGAAAGGAUUUCAUUACCAGAAGAGCAACCACUAGAGUGACUGUGCAGCCAAUGACUGUACCAAUAAUGAUGGCAACAUAGCUUGCAGCUGAAAAGAGAAAAAAAAAUCAAUCAGAAACUAGUACAAAUGAAAUCACAAUCACGCACUAGGAAGGUAUCCUGAAACUUCACUAACUGUAAGCCUUUACCAGAUAAAAUACUUUCUAGCAUGACAUACUGUACACUGUUCAUAUUUUCAAUAAGUUAUUUUAGGUUUCUGUGGCAAUUACACUACUGCCCUUCCUAAUUGUAGGGACAGCCAGGCAAGCUCUAUUCACAAAAACACAUAAAGGUCAACCAUCGCUUUCUUAAAUGCUGAAGGUAAGAACUAAUACAGAUUCAUGGAGCACCAUAAGAAAACUGCUUCCUGUUUUGCAGUGCAAUAACAACUCCCUGCAGGAAUUGCCAAAAACACAUUUAAAUCAAACGGUGGACAGAACCUCAUGGUAGGAUAUUAAAGUUUACAGGUUUGUGGAUUUCAGAGCUAUUUCCUACUAUUAAGCUUGAUUGAUCUUCCCACUAUUUCUGGCUACUUUUGUUCUUUUUUUCACUCUUGUAUUAUUUGCAUGAAUUUGGUUAGGAUCAUCUGCACUCACAACCAUACAUAAACGUUAAGGUAGAUAGUGAUGGAUUAAUGCUAAAGUACAAGAUGAAAUCAUAGAUUGCCAAAGUCGACCAAGGAGGUAAAGAUCACAAAGUAAUUCAAUUCUUUCCAAAGGAACCUUAUUUUAUACAUUCCCUCUUCUCUGAAUAAUUAUUGGAAUUUUCUUUUAAGUGGUCAAAAUACAAUGAAAACUUGUUCUUCAUGUAUUACUAGUUGGAUCAGUGCAUUUCAGCAGCCUACACUAAUUUGAAAUGUCAUAUGGCUCAGGUUACAGAAGCUGAAUGAUUUUUUUGAUAUAUAGACAGCCAUCUAUGUACUGUAUGCUAAUCUGGGCGUAUUCGUAUUUGUGAAUUUCCCCUUGGGAUUAGUAAAGUAUCUAUCUAUUCAAGCAAAGAACAGAAAGUUAAACUGGAGGUAUGUAAAUACUUGACAGGCAGCAGGUUUUCAUCGUAGUAGGUCAGAUGAUCAGAAACUGAAAUACAUAUGAAUAGAAGCUCUUUGCCUAAUUAGAUCUUGUGAGUGCAAAUGCAGAUCAAGUCCUUUCAUUUUGUAAAGCUGCUUAAUUGAAGUGUAUGAUUGCAGGGCAUGGGGCCUAUUUCAGCAGGUUUGGCACCAAACCUGAAAGGGUAGUCACAGUAUCACAGAACAUGCUCAUUAUACAUCAAUGCUCACUCACACAAGGCCUGCCAUUGUUGUCAAUUAAUGUAAAACAUAUUUUGGGAUGUGAAAAAAAGAGUAUAGUAUCCACCUCUUGGAUUUUUUCACCCAUUUUGAUGUUCUUUGCUAAUAUAUUCUGCCAGUGAAAACUUUGUUGGCUAACUUCUGGGUCAUGCAGAUUUAUCAGUUACAUUAUGCCUGGUAAAUGUUUUUAUGUUACAAUAUUUGAAUUGUUAUCUACUGUAGACACAACAAUAUUAUCAUAUCUUCAUUAAAAUCAAUUUUCAUCUAGGUCUCUUAAGUCUAGCAUCAUGAAAUCUUUUCUUAGUUUGUCUCCAUCAGUUAUUAGGAAAAAAAAAGUCGCCAAGUGAUGCACUAUGGAUAACACAGGUCAGCAGGUCCUUCUAACAAAUAACGCAUGUUAGGCCCCAAAUCUAAAUCUUGUUAGACUAUAUGAUUAAUCAUUGUAUAUCUGUACUUCAAUUAUUAGAUCAUACCCUACAAAUACUAAUGAAAUAAAUUCCUAUGAAAUUCAUUAUAGUAGCUUUGCUAGUCAAAUCUGUCAGCUACAUGAAUGUUAUGCCAUAUGAAAACAAAUACCAUGUGUUGUACUGUAUACUUCUUGUCAUUG